CGAGACCUUAACCUGCUAAAUAGCCCAGUCGACUAUGGUUGGCUGCUGGCUUCUUAGAGGGACUAUUGGCGUUUAGCCAAUGGAAGUUUGAGGCAAUAACAGGUCUGUGAUGCCCUUAGAUGUUUUGGGCCGCACGCGCGCUACACUGACGGAGCCAACGAGUCUUUUCCUUGUCCGGAAGGACCGGGUAAUCUUGUGAAACUUCGUCGUGCUGGGGAUAGAGCAUUGCAAUUAUUGCUCUUCAACGAGGAAUUCCUAGUAAGCGUGAGUCAUCAG
rnacentral:rRNA from 1 species